UGCUGCUGGGUGCAGCCUUGCUCCUGACCUCCAGAGCCAAUGGUGACCUCUGCCCAGCUGUGGAGCAGGCCGUGCAGCUGUUCCUGUCCGGGCCCCCUGAUGACUAUAUUUCCAACAUGGGGAGGUAUGUCAGCAACCCAGUAGUGCUAGCUAAUGAGGCAGCACUGAAGAAAUGUGUGGACAGCAAACUGACCGAGGAGGACAAGCAACAUGCCAUGAGCGCCGUGAACAAAAUCUACUCCAGCGUACUUUGCUAAGGGAGCUCUCCCGGGGGUGCACUGCCUGAGAAGCUGGCAUCCCAUUGAGGCGCAGGCUUGA